UUUAUACUCCCUCUGUUUGGAAUUACUUGUCGCAGAAAUGAAUGUAUCUAGACGUAUUUUAGUUCUAGAUACAUCCAUUUUCGAGACAAGUAAUUCCGAACGGAGGGAGUAGGUG
rfam:Triticum aestivum genome assembly, contig: Triticum_aestivum_CS42_TGACv1_scaffold_253342_3DL